rnacentral:rRNA from 1 species
UACAGAGGUCUCAAGCGUUGUUCGGAUUCAUUGGGCGUAAAGGGUGCGUAGGUGGCGCUGUAAGUCGGGUGUGAAAUUUCGGAGCUUAACUCCGAAACUGCAUUCGAUACUGCGGUGCUUGAGGACUGGAGAGGAGACUGGAAUUCAUGGUGUAGCAGUGAAAUGCGCAGAUAUCGGGAAGAACACCAGUGGCGAAGGCGGCUCUCUGGGACGGUACUGACGCUGAGACGCGAAAGCGUGGGGAGCAAACAGG